UUAAAAUUUUAAAUAAAAUUGUUAUAAAGUAUUUUAUAUAUACAUUUUUGAUAUAUAGGUUUUUAAUACAUAUUUUAGUAUUGAUCUUUUAAAAAAAUUCCUAAAAAAUAUAGAAUCUUGUUAGAGAUUCCCUGAGAUUCGUCAAGACCCGCCAAAAGGGGGACUAGAGGGUUAUUAAUUCCCCUUCUCUCUUAGGAAUAUUCUGGCUACCCAUAUAAUUGGAUCAACCCUGAAUAAUUUCAAUAAUAUUAAACGAAUCUGAACAUCUAUUUAAUCAUCAAAGUACAGAACUUGUUGCCACUUAGAAUAGCGAUAUAAUUUACGGAAAACAAGUAAACUAUCUUCAUACUAUCAGUCGUGACAAUAAAGAAACUAGUGGCUUUUGGUAUUCAUUUAAGUCCCAAAGAGUAAGCGCCAAUCGAAUUGGAUUGGGAAAAUUCUUCGUAUUGGAGAAAGACAACCACCAAGGUUUGAUGCUCUACGGUUAGAAUAAUCGUUAACCCGAAGCAAAAAUUUUAAAAUAUAUUUCUGGUACGCAACCCCCGAGAUCAAGAAAGAGGUAUCAGGAUAUGGCUGAAAAUAUUAUAUUAAUUGUAUCUGACUAUGUAAAUCGCCCGAUUAAUGAUCAUUUAAGGGGGAUCGCAUAUAAUUUUAAUUUACGAAUUAAA